UUAAGGAAGCAUUAAUUAUUUUUUCUAACUUUGCCUUUGUCUAUUAUUAUUUCCAAUGCAUUUAUCUCUUCUUAUCACCUUUCUACAUUCUAAGGGUACUUUAGUCAAUUACUGGUAUUUUAAUAUAAAAAUGAGGCUAUCUAAACACUUUCUUAAUCCUUGUGCAAAAAUCUUAAGAAACAUUUGAAAUAGAACAGAGAGAGUAUUACGAAAGAAUCCUCUGUUCAAUAAGUGCCAUGUGAGAGGAAGAGAAUUUAAAACCUGGAAACCAAAAUUCAAAGCUGCAGGUGCAGAAUUCAAGUUUUAUCACUUGUCAGAUCAAAAUUUACUCACACGAUGUUCAACUCUUUCAUUCCCUGGAUGUGACGCAUAUUGGAAACAAUCACAUUUAAACUGACGUUUGAAAUUUGGAGCAUAAAUUUCACAGUGAUGUGGGUAUCUAAAUCUGUACUUUUUUUUUCUAAAUAACACACACACACACACACCCCGUGUGUGUGGACGUCAAAUUACUUAGAGAAAUGGUAAAACUCAAAUGGUAAAUUAGUAAAAUUACAACCUAACCAAUAAACUAUGACUUUCAUUUCAGCUUUAGAAUGUCUACCAAAAUAUCAAAAUUAGCCUGCCUUGACUCCAAAGCAUGGGAAGAGCAUAUAAUCAUAUAGGCAGCCACUAACAUGUUUCUCAAAACGUUAUUCAAAUUUCAGAACAAGUAUCAUAAACAAUAGUGAAAAUUUUACACUCAUCCAAAAACAUAAGAAGAUGGUUACUUUAAACAUCUUUGUUUUGUAGGGUCUAGUACUUCUCCAUAGAAAACGAUAAACAAAAUUCUAGGUGGUUUUAUAUCCAAUCUCUAGUCAAGCCCUAGGAAGAAACGCCACCUAUAUAUUUGUCCAUAACAUCGUAUAAAACAUUCUGAUUCAAGAUCUAAAGUGAUUUAAGGAAGAAUGAUAAGGAUAACGUAUAUGUAAUUUGAGGACAGAAUUCUUGGUGUACCAGUUACAUUAUAAUAUAUAGAAAGAAAGUCCUGGUAUGAAUCAUGUAUACAAUUAUACAUAAAACUGCAUUAAAAGAAAG
rnacentral:misc_RNA from 1 species